rnacentral:lncRNA from 1 species
CCCGAGUAGCUGGGACUACAGGCGCCCGCGACUACGCCCGGCUAAUUUUUUGUAUUUUUAGUAGAGACGGGGUUUCACCGUGUUAGCCAGGAUGGUCUUCGUCUCCUGACCUCGUGAUCCGCCCGCCUCGGUCCCCUAAAGUGCUGGGAUUACAGGCAUACACUCUUAAGUAACCUGGUGGGGACCCAUCAAACUACAAAGGUAGCCCCUAGAAGCUUGGAACUGCCCUCAGACUACAGCCAGGAAGCAGACAGGGACUUCAGUUCCACAGCCACAAGGAGCUGAAUUCUGCCAACCAGAAUGAGCAAGAACAUGGAUUCUCCCCUCAAGCCUCCAGAAAAGAAUGCAGCCUACAGUCAGCACUUUAAGUCCCAUGCAACCUAUAAUAGAUUUCUGACCUACAGAGCUUUAAUGUCAUAAAUUGGUGUUGUUUUAAGUCAUGAAGUUUGUGGUAGCUUCUUAUGACAGUAAUUGAAAACUAAUACCUGGUCUUUUUAGCAGAAUAACGAGCACCCUGUAAUGUGUCAUUCAUGCAUAUCUUUUUUUUUUUUUUUUUUUUGGUGGGGGCAGGAAGACAAAACUCUAGAGUUUAAUCUUCCAGCUGACUGACUUGGAAGUGUUCCUGUCAAUAUAAAAGAUCUUGUUGGGGG